rnacentral:lncRNA from 1 species
CAUACAUGAUAACAUGGCGCACUUUUGACACACACGUGCGAAUCAACUGUUACAAAUUGUUUCAGGGGAUCGCCGAUAGCGACGGUUCUCUUCUCCAUCAUCCCAUCCUCCACACCGUAGAGCAGGAAAUGAUCCGGAAAAGCAACCGGAACGUUCCACUUCCUGGACAGGGGAUAAGCACACCACCGUGGUGCACUGAUGAACUUGCAGUUGUUCACCGGAGAUUACAGCAAGCCUCUGCCACUGACGACGUAUUAUCAUGAGACCUCACACAAUGUCAUAGCACAGUAAGUAUUGACCGACUCAACUUUUCUCUCGAAUCGAUUUGUUCCCACGGUGUUGAUUAAUGUCGUCACCAGCCGUCAGCUAGGAACAGGACACGCACGAGAGGCGUCGUGGCGAUGAGGAGAAGCAGGGAAGAAUGGCAGAUGCAAUGGCGCGGGCCAGGGACAUCGACGAGGAGGCAGGCGAGGGUGAAGACGGCGACGACCACGGACAUCAGCGUGCUGAGGGCGCAGGGGCAGCGUCGCCGCCGACGGCAGGGGCCGCAUUACGCGCCCUGCGGUAGAAGCGGACGAGAACUAGAAGCGUGGCGCCGACCGCGACGGCGACGG